AUACAUGCAAGUAGAACGCUGAAAGAGGAGCUUGCUCUUCUUGGAUGAGUUGCGAACGGGUGAGUAACGCGUAGGUAACCUGCCUUGUAGCGGGGGAUAACUAUUGGAAACGAUAGCUAAUACCGCAUAACAAUGGAUGACACAUGUCAUUUAUUUGAAAGGGGCAAUUGCUCCACUACAAGAUGGACCUGCGUUGUAUUAGCUAGUAGGUGAGGUAACGGCUCACCUAGGCGACGAUACAUAGCCGACCUGAGAGGGUGAUCGGCCACACUGGGACUGAGACACGGCCCAGACUCCUACGGGAGGCAGCAGUAGGGAAUCUUCGGCAAUGGGGGCAACCCUGACCGAGCAACGCCGCGUGAGUGAAGAAGGUUUUCGGAUCGUAAAGCUCUGUUGUAAGUCAAGAACGAGUGUGAGAGUGGAAAGUUCACACUGUGACGGUAGCUUACCAGAAAGGGACGGCUAACUACGUGCCAGCAGCCGCGGUAAUACGUAGGUCCCGAGCGUUGUCCGGAUUUAUUGGGCGUAAAGCGAGCGCAGGCGGUUUGAUAAGUCUGAAGUUAAAGGCUGUGGCUCAACCAUAGUUCGCUUUGGAAACUGUCAAACUUGAGUGCAGAAGGGGAGAGUGGAAUUCCAUGUGUAGCGGUGAAAUGCGUAGAUAUAUGGAGGAACACCGGUGGCGAAAGCGGCUCUCUGGUCUGUAACUGACGCUGAGGCUCGAAAGCGUGGGGAGCGAACAGGAUUAGAUACCCUGGUAGUCCACGCCGUAAACGAUGAGUGCUAGGUGUUGGAUCCUUUCCGGGAUUCAGUGCCGCAGCUAACGCAUUAAGCACUCCGCCUGGGGAGUACGACCGCAAGGUUGAAACUCAAAGGAAUUGACGGGGGCCCGCACAAGCGGUGGAGCAUGUUG
rnacentral:rRNA from 1 species